ensembl:lncRNA
GUAAGUGUUUGUCAUAUAAAGUGUUUUACACAUACAGUUAAAGUGAUCAGUUCCGAGUUGCAAUAACCUGUCGCAGCACACCCUUUUUUUUGUUUUGGAUCGCAUUUAGCCUAUCUCUGCAGAUUGGUAAUGUUUACCUAUUAAUAUUGACAUUGAUGCAGUUUGUCAAGGUAUUCAACAAACAACUCCAGACAAGUGGAGGGUUGUCCCAGCGGAGAGUCGCCGUUCCUUCUUGAUCUGAAUACCAGGAAAAUACUUCACUCAUCCGAGUAUGCGCGGUGUAACAGCCGGCCACCACCCGAGGGCGCUGGGUCGGUGACUGUCUCCGAGUCAGAGAGAAGGGACGGCAAAGGAAGCUUUUGCCAACAAUGUCAAAUUAAUGUGACUGAGC